CUCUCUGUCCCAAAAAUAAAUAAACGUUGAAAAAAUAAAUAAAUAAAAAAUAAAAUACCUAAUUUAAUCCUUACAGUAUAUUCCUAAGAGGUAAGGGCAGUUAUUAAUUCCAUUUACAGGACAGUAUUGAAAUUUAAACCCUAGAACCCAGUUUUGUUUAGUUUUUACCACUUUAACAUGUUGCCUCUCAAUUGGGAGGUUGGACUAUAUGAGCUUUGGGUGGCCAUCCCAUCUUGAACACUAGGAUUCAACAGCUCCCACGGAAUUGGGUGGUGGGUGAAGCAUGGUAUCAGAGUCACAUGGCCCCAAUUCCCCUGGAGAGCUGUCCAAAUCCAUCAAAGCAAGCAGGCUUCCAGAGCCCUCUGCUCUCACUUGAUUCUCUUGCCCAGGUGCUGACUCACUGCAUUGACUGAGCAGGCUGCCACAACUCAGUCCUUCUGUAGGACUGGCUGUCCUGGUGGAAGGCAUCCAGCAAAGAAUUUAAAUUCCUUCCUCCAUGUUUUGGCAUCCUCAUUCCAGGUUUUUGGAAGCUUCGGACAGUGGCUGGUGCUGGUCAUUUGGGGGUGUGGUAUCCUCAUGAGCCCACAUACAGACGUGUUCUUUGCAAGGACCAUAGCUGCAUUUUGAUGGAUGUAACCUUUCUAGGAUGAUCUGGCUGUGCAUCCUGUAGUUAGCCAAUUCUGGCCCCUGAAUUCCUGUCAUGCUCAGAGCUGAUGGUUCUCUGGAGGGCCACUCAGAUACUGGUGAGCACAGCCCCUGAAGUGAGACAUCCAUGAUGGAGAUAUUGCCUAUUGACUUGCUCAAAAAUGAAAAAUGGGAUAUGAGGUGCUGAAGUAUUUGAGGACAUCAUGUUAAAAGCUUCUUGUUUGACUUUUAGCACUGAACAAUCUUUGUUCGUUUCCUUCAUUUCAGGCCCCAGAGGAUUAGUUUUGCCAAAGGGAAAGAGGUAGCUAAAAGGCAAAAUGGCAACCAAAUUGAAAGCACUGUGAUGAAAGUGUGUUAUAGUGGAUAAAAGCAUUGAUUAUAUUUGUGGUCAGCUAGACCCAGGUUGGAAUCCAGCCCCCCACACUUUUCAGGACCACAGUCUUGGGAUGGUAACUUAAAGUUCUGUGAGCCUAACCUAUAAAGUAGGGAUAACAAUGUCCCUAGAAAUGGGUGGUUGUGAGGACUAAAGAGAAUCUCUUUUAAAGCACUCAGCCACACUACAGCCCAUCUAACACUUGAUCCUGUCCACCACCGCCCCCCCCCCCCUUCCUCACUCACAGAAGAAAAUAGAGAAGUCAGCUUGGUUACUAAACUAUAAAGUAUGAAGUUACUAGAAACAGUUUGAGUAAAAUUCAAAGGCUAGAGGCCAACAGUGAGAUAAAACAGAAAUAAAAGGAAGGGCAUUGAACUUAAGCAAAGAGGAGGCAGAGUUGUGGUAUCUGCAUAUUCCUGCGUCACGGUAAAGCCAUUUGGAGUCAUUUGGAGUCACUUGGGAAAGACAGGAAGAGGGAUCUUCAAAACACGAGAAGUGAUCUUUCCAGCGCAUAUGCUGUGCUCCAAGCUGGGUUCUUUACACAGAUUAUCACAUUAAACUACAUACCCAGUAGGUACAUUAUUCCCAUUGUGUAGAUAGUAAAAUUGAGGCCCAGAGAGGCAGUGAGUGGAUUCCUUCUGACCUCACUUCCCCUGCUUUCCAAGUGAGAUGGCAGAAAAUAACUUCCUUCAUCAGCCCCAGAGGUUAUGUUUCUUCUACUAAAGAAAGCAACAGCCUGGGGUAUGAAUCACGUUGUCCCAUUUCAAAUUUGGAGAUUGGGUCAGGUGUGAACUGUAGUCUAGUCUACAGUGAUGAAGUCAGGCAGGGGGAGAAUAGUGUCCAUGUGAAUAAACAUCAAGUCUUCACUAUAUUCACAUACACGGUUGGGGGAGGGGGGCAGGAACACUGCAUCAGCAAAUCCAGGGGGCCCAUUCAUGUUAUUUAGUGCUGUUAAGAAAAAGGAAUCAAAAGGUAGAGGUACAGCAAUAAGAUAAUUUCACCCUUAAUGUCACCUUACACGUUAACUAGCUCACCAAGUAUUAUUUAAUUAUCUAAGAUAGGAAUGGGCAAACUCUGACCCAUACACACAUGGUCUUAUAAAUAAAGUUUUAU